CCUACGGGUGGCAGCAGUGAGGAAUAUUGGUCAAUGGGCGCGAGCCUGAACCAGCCAAGUAGCGUGAAGGAUGACUGCCCUACGGGUUGUAAACUUCUUUUCUGAAGGAAUAAAGUGAGGCGCGUAUGCCUUUUGGUAUGUACGUUAUGAAUAAGAAUAGGCUAACUCCGUGCCAGCAGCAGCGGUAAUACGGAGGAUCCGAGCGUUAUCCGGAUUGAUUGGGUUUAAAGGGAGCGUAGAUGGGGUGUUAAGUCAGUUGUGAAAGUUUGCGGCUCAACCGUAAAAUUGCAAUUGAUACUGGCAGCCUUGAGUACAGUUGAGGUAGGCGGAAUUCGUGGUGUAGCGGUGAAAUGCUUAGAUAUCACGAAGAACGCCGAUUGCGAAGGCAGCUUACUAAACUGCCACUGACAUUGAUGCGCGAAAGUGUGGGUAGCAAACAGGAUUAGAUACCCGGGUAGUC
rnacentral:rRNA from 1 species